UUCAGCGGCCAUAGGAAGGGGGUUACACCUGAUCCCGUAUCGAACUCAGAAGUUAAGACCCUUCACGGUGUUGCUUGUAGUGGUCUAUGACUGCGAAAGCGCACUGCUGCUGGCA
rnacentral:rRNA from 1 species